rnacentral:rRNA from 1 species
CCUCGUUCAGCGAAUCCGUUCCGUCCCGGCGGACGGGUGAGUCCACGGGGCAACGCGAGAUGGGACCUCUCGGGAAACCGAAGCUCCGGAAGGACCCCCCCCCGGGAGACGACCGAAAGACGGUUUCGGCAACUCCACAGAGGGCCCGCGGUGCAGCAGUGGUGAGGUAACGGCCACCAAGGCAACGAUGCAUAGCCGACCUGAGAGGGUGAUCGGCCACACGGGACGAGACACGGCCCAGACUCCUACGGGAGGCAGCAGUAGGGAAUCUUCCGCAAUGGACGAAAGUCUGACGGAGCAACGCCGCGUGAGUGAUGAAGGCUUCGGGUCGUAAAACUCUGUUGUUAGGGAAGAACAAGUACAAGAGUAACGCUUGUACCUUGACGGUACCUAACCAGAAAGCCACGGCUAACUACGUGCCAGCAGCCGCGGUAAUACGUAGGUGGCAAGCGUUAUCCGGAAUUAUUGGGCGUAAAGCGCGCGCAGGCGGUUUCUUAAGUCUGAUGUGAAAGCCCACGGCUCAACCGUGGAGGGUCAUUGGAAACUGGGGAACUUGAGUGCAGAAGAGAAAAGCGGAAUUCCACGUGUAGCGGUGAAAUGCGUAGAGAUGUGGAGGAACACCAGUGGCGAAGCGGCUUUUUUGGUCUGUAACUGACGCUGAGGCGCGAAAGCGUGAGCAAACAGGAUUAGAUACCCUGGUAGUCCACGCCGUAAACGAUGAGUGCUAAGUGUUAGAGGGUUUCCGCCCUUUAGUGCUGCAGCUAACGCAUUAAGCACUCCGCCUGGGGAGUACGUCGCAAGACUGAAACUCAAGGAAUUGACGGGGGCCGCACAGCGGUGGAGCAUGUGGUUAAUUCGAAGCAACGCGAGACUUCCUUGACAUUCUCUGACACUAAGCCCCGAGAGGAUGACCCUUUGGUCGACGGAGGUG